AACGAACGCUGGCGGCAUGCCUAACACAUGCAAGUCGAACGAUCCCUUCGGGGAUAGUGGCGCACGGGUGCGUAACGCGUGGGAACCUGCCCUUAGAUUCGGAAUAACUCAGAGAAAUUUGAGCUAAUACCGGAUAAUGUCUUCGGACCAAAGAUUUAUCGCCUUUGGAUGGGCCCGCGUUGGAUUAGCUAGUUGGUGGGGUAAAGGCCUACCAAGGCGACGAUCCAUAGCUGGUCUGAGAGGAUGAUCAGCCACACUGGGACUGAGACACGGCCCAGACUCCUACGGGAGGCAGCAGUGGGGAAUAUUGGACAAUGGGCGAAAGCCUGAUCCAGCAAUGCCGCGUGAGUGAUGAAGGCCUUAGGGUUGUAAAGCUCUUUUACCCGGGAUGAUAAUGACAGUACCGGGAGAAUAAGCCCCGGCUAACUCCGUG
rnacentral:rRNA from 1 species